UUGGUUCUUCUUGCUGCUGGGAGGAGCUGGCGAUUCCAGCUCUAUGGUGGUAGUUUGAAGAGUGCCUGAGGGUUGUCUGUAGGCCAACAACACCCCGAGAAAGAAGCGGGUGUUUUUCCUUGAGAUCCCGGCACUGGCGCUUGCCUUCCUUGCUCGUGUCCUUCUGAAAGAGGACUUUUCUCCUUCCGGCCCAGCCUGCUGCGGCGUGUCUGCCCUUUCCUUAGAGCACUGGCUUUGCUAACUGAUGAAGCCGGGGGCCCUCUUUCCGGAUUAGGUUUAUAAAGCACCUGGGAAGGCCCGCCCAGGCUGGAGUGUCUGCUUCGCCUCUGGGUGUGCACACCUGCUGUCUCACUCUCCUGACAGCCACAAAAAAGCGUGGAGGGGACCCCAUUGGGGGUCCCCAGGCCGGCUGUACAGGCUGGGACCACGGUUUGGUGGUGGGGCUCUGGGGGGCCCAGCAGUUUUGAGAUGUGGAGCUGCGGUCCCCAUCCCUCCUCGAGGCACCAGUAUGUGCUGUCCUUCCCAUAAGAGGAAGAAGUAGGAACGAAAGAGUGGCUUUUUAGCCCUGAAAAGAGAAGGUUAAACCAGUGGUCAAGUCCAAGUGAGGUGGCCCUGGAUCUGUAGGAGUUGUGGGGUGACCGCCCGCCUCCUGCUGUUAGACCCGUCAGAACUACCUUCUGCGUCCUUGGGCCCCUGCUAGAGGACGAGUGAGUAACUCCUGCUUUCCCUUUCCUCCUGGCUGCCCAGCCCACCCCUUCUCUCCGCCUCCCUACUUCAUACAGGACCACGUCCGUUUCCUGUCGGCGCAUCCUGUGUCACUCACCAGAUGAGCAUGUUGUUUCUUGUGUCUCUCACCAUGUGGACUGGCUGCGGCAUGCUCCUUUAAAGCACCGCUGGUUUAGCUCCAGCCUCCCCCGGCUUUAGAUGAGAUCCAUUCUCCCGGCCAGGGCAUGCUUGCUCAGCGGCACAGGGCUUGUGCUCCCCGGAGGUGCCGCCAGCCCAGCGCUUGGUUUCUGGCUCGGCUCUCACUGUCUGGAAAUUCUUGGUUUUUGCAUCAGGGGCCCCGCAGUUUCAUUUUGCACUGCUCCUGCUCAGAGUCACUUGCGGGAAGUGAGAAUAACAGGGUUGAGACCAAAGCCCUGCUGUGUAAAUAUGCACCCCUCCCCCACCGCCAGAGAUUGGCGCUCUGUGUGCACGCAGGCCCCUUCUGCUCUUCCUCUUGACGCUGUCAAGGGCUCAGCUUGUCACCUGUGCUUCCCGUCCAUGGUUCUUCAGAAGGUCUGACCCCUGCCUUGACCACUCCAUUACUAUUUGUUCAUUUGGAUCAGCAGAACUGAUAGAUUCAAAUUAGUGGAUAGUAUAAGUAAUAGGUAAUUUGAUAUUUGAAAAAAAAAUCAUUUCAUUUUCAAGUACAGUACAAAUGUUUACUCAUAAUUUUUGUAAGUAAUCCCUAGAAUUCUAAAGACAUUGCGACCUGGGAAUAGCUUCUGUGGCCAGUACCUGAAUCCCAAUCAAUGUCCCUUGAAUAGCUGAGAGGUAUCUCACCUGUGGUUUGAGCAUCACAGAUUCAAACAGAGUCUGGCAGGGGCCUGGGACAUCACAGAGUCCGCCUCUUCACAGCUGAGAAAGCCAGAGCCUGAUGUCCCUCUGACUUCAAGCGUUUCUGUCCCUCGGCCACACCCAUAUGCCACUCACAUUGCUUAAAAUUCUCCUUAAAUCGGCUUUGAACCAAAAAUUUUAGCUGUGCCUCAUUCCAAGGAAUCAUAUUGUGAAAUCGUAGAUGUCAUGGGCCAUUUUCCCCCAAUAAACAAAAAGAAAAUCUGCAUAAUCAUAUAAUAAAACUUGUUCAUAUGUAUAUAUACGCAAACGUCUAAAAAUCACACAUGCACCCGCUCUGAGAUGACUGUGUUGAGCUGUGGGCUGAAGCCACGUGCAGUCACACGUCUACUAUAUGGACAGCCUAGACUAGAACUGCCUUAGGAAGGAACCCUGGACGUGACUUCCAAACAUGUUGUUCUUUUGUAUCCCGGUUUCACUCCGACUGUUUUCCCACUCUGGGAUGUUUUGUCUCUUUUCCUCACACCCAAAUCCUGCUCAUCCUAUUAGGCCCCACGCAUUAAACCCACAUUGUUCUAUUGGUCUCCUCUUCUCCUUCCUCCUGCUAGACUAAUGGUCUCUCUACCUCUUCCUAACGCCUGUGAUAUUAUUGUUUUGAUGCUAAAUCGUGUACUGCCCUUCUAAGAAGUUUUGUUUUUAAUCUGUUUUCAUUUUCUACUGCGGUAUCAUUGACAUAUAACAUUAUAUUAGUUUCGGGUGUACCACAUGAUUCAAUAUCUGUAAACAUUGUGAAAUGCUCACCGCAGUAAGUCUAGUUGAUAUCUGUCCUCAUCAUGCAUAGCUACACAUUUUUUUUCUUGUGAUGAGGACUUAGAGAGAUGUUUGACUGUGCACAGGCUCCUUAAGGAUAAAGACUGUCUUGUGUGUCCCAGGCAUUUCACACAAUGCCCCACUUAAUGAACACCUGUUAAAUAUUAAUAGAUUUCUGACACAAAAAUGUUUUUGAUUGAACUAU